GGAAGCCAUAUGUUGUUGCUGUAAUUCCAAGGUUAAGAAUAUCUAGAGUUUUGGCUAUUGCCUUUUCUUCUAAACAGGAGGAAGCUGGUUUUUUUUUUUUUUAAGUGUUAUAAUGCAGCUGAAUAAUGAUGAAUGCAGUAGAGGAAAAAGAGAGAGGGAGAAAAAAGAAGAAAGGAGAAAGAGUGAGCGACCAGCAGAUCUGGAAAGCAAAUUUCACUAUGGAAGCCAAGACUCAAAAGGGAAGAGUUGAGGGUAGAUGUGGACCAAAGACUGGCCUUGGGGGAGACCAAAGUUUGCUUGGGAAAUUGAUAGCAAAUGACUGCUCUAAUAUUCUGUGGUGGUACGGUGAUGCUUGUAAUACGUUUAUCUUUGUAAGAACUUAAGCAAUCCGCUCAGUAUUGUUCACAUC
rnacentral:lncRNA from 1 species